rnacentral:tRNA from 1 species
GCGGGCAUAGCUCAAUGGCAGAGCUCCAGCCUUCCAAGCUGGCGGUGCGGGUUCGAUUCCCGCUGCCCGCUCCA